GAUGUGCAUUUCCAAUGGUAGCUGAAUUAAGUGGAAGCGAAUUUGCCCCUAUUUCAACAAGAAAAUUUGUCAGUUAAAAACUUAGUGGUGGCUUGCGGCACUUGGAUGUCCCGACACCUGCUCCAGUGUUCAUUCCCUUUAUUUUGUGUCAGAUUGCUGGCAUUUGCCCCUAUUUUGUCGUGUCAUUGACCCAAACUCAGAUUAUUAAGAGUGACUCCGAAAUAAACACAGUAUCUCUGCUUUGUCUUGCUUCUCAGAUAAACCCUUUAAACCUUGGUAUUUUCAUGAGUUCCCCAGCUUUUCUGUUGACAAAAAUUUUUGCAUGUCUUAUUCAACUCAUAAUCAUGUCUCUUUCAUAUGCUGACUUUGUCUUACUUUGUAUAAUUGAAGAAGCUAGUAGCCAGUUUUGAAAUCUUUUCUCACUUGUUUUGAUAUGGACUUGACUCAAAGACAAGAGAAAAAUGACAAUGACUUUUAUUUGGACCACUGACUCAAGAAAACAAAAUAAAAAUAAUGAGAAGAAAGAAAAGACAAUGAAUGUCCCCGUUGGAAACAAAGAAAUGAAAAAUUAAUCUAGAAAUGACAGUCAACUCUAAUGAUUUUGCCAUGCAUAUCAGAUUAAACUGCCUGAUCUUUCCAUCCAAAACCUUCUACCAAUUGUUGUUAAGUUAAUGACCUCGAAAUUGAGUUGCUUCCUUAGGUCAAUUGCAUUUAAGACCUCAUUCGGCUAGUGGCGCCUUGAAAGGUUUUUGCCAACAAGCCUCUCUUAUUUUCUUUUUCUCAGCUCACCAUUGCCCUAUGGUGUCCGUGAAGGUUUUUCACCAAUGAGACUCUUAUUUUUAUUUGUCUCAACUCACCGUCGUCUUACAGUGCCCGUGAGGGUUUUCACCGAUAAGACUCUCUUAUUGUUAUCUUUCUCAGCUUACCAUCAUCUUACAAUGUCUGUGAGGGUUUUCAUCGAUAAGACUCUCUCAUUUUUAUUUCUCUCUUGAUUCCUUAUACCGCGGAAGACAAGUAUUUACCAAAAUGCGUCAUCACAUCCAUUGCAUGCUUAGUCUUAACAUUCUCAAAGAUUGAUCUGAAGGUCUUUCUUUGGUUGUAACUUGGCUUUUGGACAGGGUUAGAAAGAAAGGAUGGAAUGGGGCCAAAACGACACUUGAAGUGGAUGACUCCAAAUUGUUUAUUGGGUGAGACUUACAACUUUUGAAAUCAACUCAAACAAUGAGGAUUACCUCAUGCCCUAGUUUCUUUUGACUGGGUGACUCUAAAUGGUUUAUUUGGUUGGACCGAGCCCCGAGUAGGUAAGCCUAUGUAUCUCACCCCCGACAGAGGAAAAUCAGGUCGCACGAGUUCCGACAACUUAUUUUGCAUGAUUUAGACUUUUGAUUCUUUUUCUUUUAUUGACACUCUUUUCUCUUUGAAUUUUUUUGACUCUAUUUUCCUUCACUUUUCUUUUCUCUUUUCUUUUUGGACAUUUUUUUUUCUUUUUUUUUGAAACUUUUCUGACACCAUUUUUUUUGUUCGACACUUCCUUUUUGAGCUUUGUUAACUCUAUCUUGAUUCCAAAAGAGGGCUAUGAAAGAAAUAGAACUAAAGCUAAAAUGGCGUAAACAAAGGAUGACAUAAUAUUUGGAUAGAAAAAUGAAAUGCCUUCGUCGAAUCAAUCCUUGAAGAUGCUAGUACAUAGCAUGUAAUGUGAAAGUGAAAUAUAAAGAUCAUGUGUGACACUUUAACAACACAAACUUUAACUGAGCAUGUGUGUCACUUCUUCCACUCUUGUCAAACAUACAACUCCACCUUUGUUGUACAUCCCUCACAUUGAAUGACUUAUGCUUUAGUGGAGUUGAUUUUUGUUCUGUUCCUUGGGAUCAUACAUCUGCUAUUUGACCUAAUUGUGCUAUGUUUUUCAAUUGAUGACCAAGUUAUUCUUAUGCUUCUCAAAAUAAUUUCCUUGAUUUUCAAAGAAAGCUUCAACUCAUCACCAAAUGUCUCAACACUCUACCUAUUUCCUCAGAUGUUUUUUCUAACUUUAGCCCUCUGAUUCAAAGUUCAUGCUUAAAACAGGACUUUAAGAUCAGGCUGAAAUUCCGCAGGCAUGUCAUAUCACUAAAGCCAACAUAAAAUGUACUAUGUAAAGGAAACAAACAAACAAACAACACAUAUUUAAAACACAAAGGAAAAAAGAACAUUCUCUUUAGUUGAAAUAAAAGAGAAAAGGGUUUGAACAUAAACGACAAAGGGACAAAACAAGAUAGAUCCCGAACUACAACCCUAAAGUAAUUCAAAAAAUAGAAAAGAAAACAAAACAAACUACCACACCUCUUCCUAGUAGGGAGAGGGGUGACUUCUCAAUUGCUCAGCCUAACAACUUAGCCACUGGUUUGCAUAUCAGCGUGACUAGAGCUUUCCUUACUGCCAAUGUUCUGCACCAUAAUUGAUCUAUCUUGAAUCAUCUUUUCAAUUUAUCUUUUCAAAGUCCGACAAUCUUCAAUACUGUGACCCUGAACAUCAGAAUGAUAUGCACAUCGUACACUAGGUUCAAAACUUCUUGAAUGCGGGUCAGGAGUAUACCCAAGGAGAGGAGUGAUCAUACCCCGCUCUACCAAUUUUUGAAAUAAGUUGGCAUAUGACUCUCCAAUUGGUGUGAAGCUAUCCCUCGAUUUUUGCCUCAUUUAAUUGUUUGGAUUGGAUCCAAAAUUAGGCCUAGAAAGGCUUUGAUAGAUUUGUAGAGUCGGAAGGUAACUAUGAGGAGUUGGUGCGUGUCAUUGUGAGUAAGAAGGGAGUUGAACAUAUGGUUGUGCGUAGUAUACUAGAUAUGGAAGUGCGGAAAUAAAGUAUAAUGGAUUGUAGGAGGGAUUGACGGCAACGACGACGUCGUCUUCUUGGAUGUGCCCGUUCCCCAACUACAAUAGCAACUGUAUCUUUCUUAUUCUUUUUCCCUCCAGUUUCCUUUAAUUGAUUGCAAUAUUGUCCCAAAUAUUUCACGAAUUCCUCCUAUCCAUCUUGCUCCUCAAAUUUUGACAUCUCGAAGAUUGGAGGAAGGUUAGCACUUAAAGGCAUGCCCCAAUCUUUAUAUGAAACAUCUUCUUUACCCGUUGGUCCUAGAGAAUUUUUCAUAGCAUUUUCUGCACUCUUCAUUUUUCCAACCAUUUUCUUCGACUCUUCUGGCACACUGGACUUCUUGUUAAGAAAUUUUGGUGGUCCAGUUAACUUAAAAGCAAGCUCAGGAGUAUAACAAUGAUCACCAGGAGUAUUGAAUAUAGGUUCACUAGUAGCAUGCGACGCACAACCGUUGGGCGAGCCAGUGUGGAAGUCCCAGUAGAGGAUUGAGCAACAAGAUCACAAAUAUCAUGUUGUGUUGUGAAUGUAGCAGGCUUAUGCUGAGGAGCUAGAGGAAAAGUAGUGGAAGUAUUGAGAUGCUUUUGGCUUGGAAUGAAUUUUGAGUCAUGUUGCGAUGCAUCAACAAAAGUAGAAAAUUGACUUGGAGAUUUUGGUGGAAAACUCGAGCUAUUUAUAGGAUCAAUAAAGGGAAAUGGAGGAGGAGAAAACCCACUGGGCCAAGCUUGAUGCAUUUCUGUCAUUUGUUGUCUAGCCUCUUAAUCUCUUGCUUCAAACUUUCUUUUUCCUGACUCUUUGUUUGAUCCAUGAUGUCAUUCUCUAUAUCCUUGUUGGACACAACUAACCGUUUGAAUUUGGUGUGAUGUGGAGCACCAACCAGAAUGCCACAAACCAACCACCUUAAAUUGACUCAACAAAAAACAACAAAUGUGUUAGAGUUCAACACUUUUUCAAAACCUCUUUUUCCUUCUUCUUUUUUUUUUAAAAUAUCACCGAACCCAAGAAGGGCACCUACAUAUCUCACUCCUGAGAUAGGAGAAUCAGGUGUGCGUAGUUCGUGAAGUCUUGCCAAAAUGGCCAAUCAAACUCUUUUCUUUUUCUUGAAACAAAGUGUCAAGAAUUGACGUAAAUCUUUUUUGCAUUUUUAGGUUUAAAUCCCUAUACAAAAUGAAACCUAUGAUUACCAAAGAAAAAUCUUUUGGAUUUUCAAUUUUGCAUUCAUACGUAAAUAAAACUUGAAACUAUUAAAGGAAAAUCUUUUUGAAGUUUUCUCUUGAAGAUGUAUAUGAAACACCUACUCUAAACGAAGAGUGAAUAAAAUAUUUUUUGAAUUUUUGAAAUAAUAUCCCCAAACCCACAAUAGGCUGCCUACAUAUCUCACUCCCGAGAGAAGAGAAUCAGGGGUGCGUAGUUCAUCCAGAUUAGACAAUUAAGUAUUAUAGAACAAACAGAACCUUGACUUAAGAGACAUGACUGCACGAUACAAAUAAAAUCUUUUUGGAUUUUUAAUUUGACACUUCAUACAAAAAUGACAUCAACAACUAUGAAAGAAAAAUAUUUUUGGUAUUUUCGUUAUACGAAAUGUAAAAAAUUUAUAACAUCUUUUUUUGCAUUUUUCUUUUAUAAAAACUCCUAUGAAUAAAUUAUUUUUUUUUGAAGUUUUCGAAUUGUGAAUGCAUGCUAAACGAGACAAAGGAAAAUCUUUUUGAUGUUUUUGAGAAAAUGAGUGCAAAAGGUAAAAAGAAAAAAUCUUUUUGAAUUGUUGAAUUGUGAAAAACAAAAGCCAUAAAAAACUCUAAAAACUACAAAACACUUUUUUUUUGACUCACUUGUUCUUCUAUUUUUUUCAACAAUUCUUGCCUACGCCCUUUACUUCUAACACCUGUUUUCCCCAAAUCAAUCCGUCAAAUGACCACGUUACCCUCAAAGAUGCAAUAUUUAGCACGUAGGGAUGCUUUAGAAGUGAGUCUCCUACAAAGAGUCACGUGGGUCCCGCUAGGUCUCAAUAUGAUGUAGAUAAGCAUGACCUAAAGGCCGACCUAUGUUGGGGUCUACUAACAAGGUUGCUUGGGAAGCGUAUGGUCGAUAGUGGAUUGCUUUAGCUGUCUACCUACUCCAUACAAACCAACGGCUCCCCCUCCUAACAUAAGAGUGACUCAACUAUAGGUCGUGUACAAACGUUACUAUAGACUUGUUUCAGAAAGAAAGACUCGGGUUAUUGUAACGCCUCGUAAUUUGGGCUACAAUAUGGACCAUAAUUUUGAUGUGUUGUUAAUCCCGAAGCCAUAAAAUCCUAUGCCAAUACGGCAUGAUAAUUAUCAUGUAUCAUGUGAAAUCCACUCAAUCUUGAAUUUAGACCAUAGAGGUCCUACAACUUAGGACGAGUCGAAACUAAUUUGAUCGACUAAGUUUUAGUGGAUGUUGUAAAGUGUGUCAGUUUCCUUCAACCAUAACUCUAUGUAUAUGUCGAAUUAGGGAACCUACUAUGUGUCAAAUGAUAGGUGUUCGAGUUAUCUUUCCAAUGAUACCAAUUUAGCUAAAAUCCGACAACCGAGCAAGAAGUUAUGACCUUUCAAAGUGAUAAGGCCCAUGGCCACUGGACAGCAUAGGCGAUAGCCUAGGCGGCAGCCUAUGUGAAUAUAGGUGAUAGCCUAGGUGGAGCCUAGGUGGAGCCUAUGUGAACAUAGGCGAUAGCCUAGGCGAUAGCUUAGGCGGCGCCUAUGUGAUCAUAGGCGAUGGGAUGGGCCGCGCCUAUGUAAGGAAUUCUAGUGAUUUAAACACUCCGUGUUGAGGACAAAGUGGUCCUUUUCCACCCUUGCUUAGCCCUAAAACACGAGAUUUAGUUCCAAGGACCCCAAAAUACAUAUUAUUUCAUCAAAAGUGCUCAAGUUUCUCCUUAGGGUUUCAAAAUAAAAACCCAAAUAGUUCAAGAUUCGACCGUAGGUUUUCGAAGAUAAUUACAUAUUAGAAAUCACCAAUUCGCAAGCUUCAAGAAACAUCUAUUGUCCUUGGAAAUAGAGGUACGUGGGGUUAUCCAAAAAUCUCAUGGGUGUAGUUUUAUGAACAUGAAUGUUUUUAAAUGGGGUUUUUCAAUCAAAUGCUAAUAUCUUGCUUUCAAUAUGAUUUCUAAGUCAUUUCCUGUAUGUCAUGGGAAUUGUUUACCUAUAUACUUCAAUGGUUGAAACCAUGCAUAUGUGAUUUGAGAUUUUCCAUGGAAGUUUAUAAAUAUGAAUGAUAAAUUGUUUUCAAAUUCCCAUGAUAAUGUUUCAAUACUCCAUAUUAUAUUGUGAUCAACAAAAGAGAGCAUGAAUUUGAAAUACAUAUUAUUCACCAUUUGUCAAUGAUGAAGCACCUUGGUUUUUACAUGAUUAUGCAUAUGUGGAUGUGACUUUGAUGACUUGCAAGUAGAGUAUGACGAUACCCUUCAAAAUAUGAUAUGCGAUUGAAUAAGAUGAAAUUUGAAUGCAUUGAUUUUACAUUAGAAAAGUGGAUGGCCGAAGAAAGCGUUUUAAGACACAAGCGGCUCAUCGUUGGAAGAACGUGUUUGCCGACACGGAAUAUCGGUACCAUGCUUUGUGGUCUUGCGUACCUGAUAUUAUAUUAUCCCAAAUUGGGAUUCUGGUUAGGAGCCAUGCUUCGUGGUCUUGUGCACUACCAUCUCGGCGGCAAUCGAGGUUUGACAGUUGUGUAAAUUAUGUAGGGUAUUCCACCUAGCUCAGUUGAAUUUCAUUAUUUAUGAGAAAAACUAUUGCAUUACACCACUGUGCUUUCAAAUGAUUUGAUACGAAAUUGCUUUAUAAUGGCUCUCAACUAUACUUUAUAAAAAUAUUAUGUUUUGUUUUGAUAUCUCUGCGUGCCAGUACUUUUGUGCUGACCCCCUCCCCUCUCCAACCUCUCAAGUUCAGAGGCCCAGUCUAGGGGUCAAGAGAACCAGUAGAUUUUUUAGACAGAGUUGCAGAGACAAGUGGUGAGCCUUCUAUGUUUCGGAAGGUCUUAUGUCCUGCAGUCCCUUUUAUCUUAUAUUAGUUUUGGGUCUGCUGGGGGCCUUGUCCCAGUUUUCAGAUAGUUACUUGUUUCAAUCAUAUAAUAGAGAUUUCGCAGAUGAUUUUCGAGAUAUUGAUUGGGAUUGUGGGACGUUACUCCCCAUUAUUGUUUUCAUAUGAUUCUUGACCAUGUUUUCGUUAUAUUGUGUUUCUUCCGCAUUACUUUGAACAUAUGAAUUUAUGUGCAUGAUUACCAGACAGAUAGGGGUGUUUCGGGCCUCCAUGGUUCGAAAUGCUCAUCAUGGCCAGGCCCUAGUUCGGGUCGUGACAGUUAUGCACAUGAUGUCAAAUAUAAAGUGGUAACAUAUAAAGUAAAAACUAUAAACAAAGAGCACGUAGGCACUCAACAAUGAUAAACAAUAACACAAAACAACACAAACAAAAUGUCUAUACACCUAUAGUGCCAAACUAAGCCGAUACAACUCCAAAAUAAGCUUGAAUUCUAAAAAUUCCCCAGCAGAGUCGCCAGAGCUGUCACACUCCUUUUUUAACUCCAAAAAGAUUAAUUUUAUUUUAAAGUUUGAAAGGGUUUUUAUUAUCAAAGUGACAAAAAUGAAGAUUUUUUUCGAAAAGGAUUAUUUACAUUUAAACUCAGAGUCGCCACUUGAAAUAAUCCGGUGUGCCAAGUCACCUUUGGAAAAUCCUUUUCAAAAUUGUUUUGACUCUUUUAAAACUGGUUUGCGAACAGAGAUUCCAGCUAAGGAAUUUUGUUGACCGAGGGAAAGGUGUUAGGCACCCCUCGAUCCCGUGGUUCGACCACGGUCGCUUGGUGGAGCGUAUCGGCUAAUUCGACACUAUGAAUGUACAAACCACACAAAAACACGAAAAACAAGCAAACAAACAGACAAAACAAAAUGAAUCUAAAUAUAGUGUCCAGUCCAAUUUAUACAGUCCAAAAUAGAAAAAUGCUAAGAUAAAUCCUAUCUAACCUAUACUAAUACUAACUACGCUCCUGCGCUUUACCUGACGCCUCUGGCCUUCCUCUCAAAUUCCUUCCACCAACAUAGUACGUCGGGGCAUUCCCCAGUAAACAAAUACAAUUCCUUUGGGGCAUUCCCCGACAAAUGAAUACAAUGUCAAUUUCAUGCGAUAAACUAGGAAACAUCCAACAAAUAUUCCCAACAUUCCAACAAUCCACCAAUUCUAAAUUUUUCCUACCCGAGCCUAUUUUUUGCCUACCUGCUCGAUGACAUAUAACGUUCAACAUCAACAAUGAAUCAAAAUACCAUAAUAUUCACUUUUAUCAAUUUUUGAUUUUCAACCCAAAUCCAUUCUAAACGCCACAAAUAGCAAUCACUAUUUCACAAUCCAUGCUCAUUUUAGUAACGAAUUUAAAUAACAAAACCAUAUCAAUGAAAUCAAGUCAUCAUAAUCAACCAACAUGUAACCAUAGCUAAUGCAACCAAUCAAAAUGAAUAAGAAAAUGGGUUAAAGAAAUGGACCUCAAUAGAAUGUUCUCGUAGAUAAUAAAGAAGUCCGAGACCGAAAUCCUCCAAAAUGGAACCCCAAAGAUGAACACACCAAAUCAAUAAUCCAAGAGUACCAACUGGUCCGAUUUCAACCAAGAAUAAAAACCCAAAACAGGAACAAAAUCGAUGAAUCCCCAAAGCUCGAUCCCGGCGACAGAAUACAAAAUCAGACAAACCCAAAAAACCCCAAUGCGCAGUAUCGAAAAUGAACCGCAAAGAAGACGAACUCGAAGCCUCAGAAAUGCCGUAGAAAGACUAAAAAAACGUAGCUUAAGCUCCGAUGAGCUAACACGAAGGUAAAGAACGACAAUCCGAGACGAUUUCCAAUGAACCUUAUUGUUUUCCGACCGGAUCCAACUCAGAAAUCAAAGAGGAAUAGAGGGAUUUUAGGAUGUAUUCGUAUCAUAGUGGAUUUUUAGCCCGUAGAAACAGAAAAUGACCAAAUCAGUCCCUUUGGUGACGAGUUCACCUAAAAGUGCUAACCCGCAGUGCCUCUCGAUCUAGUUUUUCUCUUCCUUCGCUACUCUCCACCUCUCUCUCUAUUCGAUGUGUGUGUGUGCGAGAUUUUUUAGUGUAUUAUAUGGGUGUACAGUGGUGAAUCAAAGAGAAUCAAGUGAUUGAGUAUCUCCUUUUUCGUUUUAUCCCUGAUGUGUGUGUAUUGAUGUAUGAAGAAAAGGGUAUGUCUGUUCAAUCAUGUUGCUGGGCAGAAAAUUUUUUGUGUAUGGGUGGGUAUUCUGGGAAGGUCUUGUAUGCAUAUGGGCUCCGUGAGUGUAUGUGAGGUGUCUUA
rnacentral:lncRNA from 1 species